rnacentral:rRNA from 1 species
GAGUUUGAUCAUGGCUCAGGAUGAACGCUGGCGGCGUGCCUAACACAUGCAAGUCGAGCGAGAAUCUUGUGAGUGGAGACUUCGGUUGAAGCGAGUAAGAGGAAAGCGGCGGACGGGUGAGUAACGCGUGGGUAACCUGCCUUUCACACAGGGAUAGCCAUCGGAAACGGUGAUUAAUACCUGAUGACAUACUUUAUUUGCAUGAAUGAAGUAUCAAAGAUUUAUCGGUGAAAGAUGGACCCGCGUCUGAUUAGCUGGUUGGUGGGGUAAAGGCCUACCAAGGCGACGAUCAGUAGCCGACCUGAGAGGGCGAACGGCCACACUGGAACUGAGACACGGUCCAGACUCCUACGGGAGGCAGCAGUGGGGAAUAUUCGGCAAUGGGGGAAACCCUGACCGAGCAACGCCGCGUGAGCGAUGAAGGUCUUCGGAUUGUAAAGCUCUGUUGGAUGGGAAGAUAAUGACGUACCU